CCGCUCCCUUUUCCCUUCUCCUUUCCGACCGUCCCACCACCGAGUUCUUCUCUCUUUCUUUCUCCUCACUUUCCGACCGACGCGUUCUCCUCCCGUUCGACGCCCUCCACCCAAUCUCCCGUUCGACCCGCCGCGCACCCUCCCCGGUCCCCGCCGAUCCGCCCCAGAAGUCCUUCCUCCCUCCACCCGUAAUUCCAUCCUCCGUCAAUUGCGCCCCCUCCGACGGCUCAAAGGCGGAAGACAUCCCUCCGAGGCCUGAAUCGCGCUUACGGCACAAGUACAGUUCCGCCAAAAUGCGGCACAAGUGGGCCCAGUUCUGCCAAAACAUGGCACAAAUUUGCCAGUCGAAAAAUCGGCACAAAAUCUUCUAAGAGGCCAUUUGGUUUCUUCGACUUAUUUUUAGUAUUUUUAGUACAUGUCACAUCGAAAGUCACAUCGAAUAUUUAGAUACUAGCA